GACGAACGCUGGCGGCGUGCUUAACACAUGCAAGUCGAACGGCAAGGCACUUUCGGCGGUACACGAGUGGCGAACGGGUGCGUAACACGUGGGUGAACUGCCCUGCACAUUGGGUUAAGCCUGGGAAACUGGGUCUAAUACCGGAAAGAACUACGCGGUGCUAGUCGUGUGGUGGGAAGCUGUUGCGGUGUGGGAUGGGCGAGCGGGCUAUUAGCUUGUUGGCGGGGUGGUGGCGUACCAGGGCGCCGAGGGGUCGCCGGCCCUGGAGCGUGGGCAGCCACACUGGGACUGAGAUACGGCCCAGUCUCCUACGGUAGGCAGCGGUGGGGAAUAUUGCACAGUGAGCGCAAGCCUGAUGCAGCGGCGCCGCGUGGGGGAUGACGGCCUUCGGGUUGUAAACCGCUUUCAGCACAGACGAAGCGUAAGUGACGGUAUGUGCAGAAGAAGCACCGGCCAACUACGUG
rnacentral:rRNA from 1 species